UCCUCGAUAGUAUAGUGGUGAGUAUCCACGCCUGUCACUCGGGGACCGGGGUUCGAUUCCCCGUCGGGGAG
rnacentral:tRNA from 1 species